AUUGAACGCUGGCGGCAUACCUUACACAUGCAAGUCGAACGGUAACAGGUUAAGCUGACGAGUGGCGAACGGGUGAGUAAUGUAUCGGAACGUGCCCAGUCGUGGGGGAUAACUGCUCGAAAGAGCAGCUAAUACCGCAUACGACCUGAGGGUGAAAGCGGGGGAUCGCAAGACCUCGCGCGAUUGGAGCGGCCGAUAUCAGAUUAGGUAGUUGGUGAGGUAAAGGCUCACCAAGCCGACGAUCUGUAGCUGGUCUGAGAGGACGACCAGCCACACUGGGACUGAGACACGGCCCAGACUCCUACGGGAGGCAGCAGUGGGGAAUUUUGGACAAUGGGCGCAAGCCUGAUCCAGCCAUGCCGCGUGCGGGAAGAAGGCCUUCGGGUUGUAAACCGCUUUUGUCAGGGAAGAAAAGGUUCUGGCUAAUACCUGGGACUCAUGACGGUACCUGAAGAAUAAGCACCGGCUAACUACGUG
rnacentral:rRNA from 1 species